UGCUACUACUACAGCUGCUACAGCUACUACUACUACAGCUGCUGCUACAGCUGCUACUACAGCUACUACUACUGCUACAGCUGCUGCUACUGCUACUACUACUACAGCUACUACUACAGCUACUGCUACUACUACAGCUGCUACUACUGCUGCUACUACUACAGCUACUGCUACUACUGCAGCUACUACUACUACAGCUACUACUACAGCUGCUGAUGUCUCUCGUGUGAGGUCACCACCACAGCUACUAUAGCUACUACUACUACAGCUGCUGCUACUACUACAGCUACUGCUACUACUGCAGCUACUACUACUACAGCUACUACUACAGCUGCUGAUGUCUCUCGUGUGAGGUCACCACCACCACAGCUACUACAGCUACUACUACUACAGCUGCUGAUGUCUCUCGUGUGAGAUCACCACCACUACUACUACAGCUACUGCUACUACUACAGCUGCUACAGCUGCUACAGCUGCUACUACUACAGCUACUACUACAGCUGCUACUACUACUACAGCUACUACUACUACAGCUGCUACUACAGCUACUACAGCUGCUACUACAGCUACUGCUACUACUACAGCUACUACUACUACUACAGCUGCUACUACAGCUACUACUACAGCUACUACUACAGCUGCUGAUGUCUCGUGUGAGAUCACCACCACUACUACUACAGCUACUGCUACUACAGCUGCUGAUGUCUCUCGUGUGAGAUCACCACCACUACUACUACAGCUACUACUACAGCUGCUGAUGUCUCUCGUGUGAGAUCACCACUACUACUACAGCUACUACUACAGCUACUGCUACUACUACAGCUGCUGAUGUCUCUCGUGUGAGAUCACCACCACCACAGCUACUACUGCUACUACUACUACAGCUACUGCUACUACUACUACAGCUACUACUACAGCUGCUCACGUCUCUUGUGUGAGAUCACCACCACCAGAGCUACUACUGCUACUACUACUACAGCUACUACUACAGCUGCUGAUGUCUCUCGUGUGAGAUCACCUCCACCACAGCUACUACAGCUACUACUACUACAGCUGCUACUACAGCUGCUGAUAUCUCUCGUGUGAGAUCACCACCACAGCUACUACAGCUACUACUACUACAGCUACUACUACAGCUGCUGAUGUCUCUUGUGUGAGAUCACCACCACACAGCUACUACAGCUACUGCUACUACAGCUGCUGAUGUCUCUCGUGUGAGAUCACCACCACCACAGCUACUACAGCUACUGCUACUACAGCUGCUGAUGUCUCUCGUGUGAGAUCACCACCACAGCUACUACAGCUACUACUACUACAGCUACUACUACAGCUGCUGAUGUCUCUCGUGUGAGAUCACCACCACCACAGCUACUACUACAGCUACUACUACUACAGCUACUGCUACAGCUGCUGAUGUCUCUCGUGUGAGAUCACCACCACCACAGCUACUACAGCUACUACUACAGCUACUACUACAGCUGCUGAUGUCUCUCGUGUGAGAUCACCACCACCACAGCUACUACAGCUACUACUACUACAGCUACUACUACAGCUGCUGAUAUCUCUCGUGUGAGAUCACCACCACAGCUACUACAGCUACUACCACAGCUACUACUACAGCUGCUGAUGUAUCUCGUGUGAGAUCACCACCACUACUACAGCUACUGCUACUACUACAUCUACUGCUACUACUACUGCUACUACAGCAGCUACUACUACAGCUGCUACUACUACAGCUGCUGAUGUCUCUCGUGUGAGAUCACCACCACAGCUACUACUGCUACUACUACUACUACAGCUAUUGCUACUACUACUACAGCUGCUGAUGUCUUUUAGUGUGAGAUCACCACCACCACAGCUACUACUGCUACUACUACUACAGCUACUACAGCUGCUACUACUAUUACUACAGCUGCUGAUGUCUCCCGUGUGAGAUCACCAUCACUACUACAGCUACUACUAUUACAGCUACUACUACAGCUGCUGAUGUCUCUCGUGCCCCCUCUGUGUGCUGCACCUCGCCGAGGAGAGACUCCGCGCAUUCCGCUCUGAUGUCCAGUUGUGACUGAGGGGGUCCAGCAAGUUUCCAUCAACAACAAACAAUACAGACAACCAUAUGGUGCCACAAUAGAGACAAAGAAUCAAUCACAUGGAGCAGAGACACUCGACACAGCCUGGAAUUAAAAGGCACCAAUGCGCCCUUUGUUCAUACAGCACGGAUCAGAUGGGCAAUUUGAAGAAACAUCAGAGAACACAUACUGGCGAGAAGCCCUUCAAGUGCACUGUGUGUGGGAAGGCAUUUAAAGAUGCACGAUCUCUGCGUAUUCACCAGAGAACACACACUGGUGAAAAGCCCUUCAAGUGCACUGUGUGUGGGAAAGCAUUUACACGGUCAGGAGAUCUUGACAGACAUAUGAAAACACACACUGGCGAGAAGCCGUUCAAGUGCACUGUAUGUGGGAAUGCAUUUUCACGGUCAUCACAUCUUGACACACAUCAGAAAACACACACUCAUGAAAAACCUUUCAUAUGCACAGUGUGUGAGAAGGCAUUUAAAGAUUCAAGAUCUCUGCGUAUUCACCAAAGAACGCACACUGGAGAGAAGCUCUUCAAGUGCACUGUUUGUGGGAAGGAAUUUCCACGGUCAUCACAUCUUGACAGACAUCAGAAAACACACACCGGCGAGAAGCCCUUCAAGUGCACAGUGUGUGGGAAUGCGUUUACACGGUCAUCGCAUCUUGAGACACAUCAGAAAACACACACUGGUAAAAAGCCCUUCUUUUGCACUGUAUGUGGGAAGGGAUUUUCACAUGCAGGAUCUUUUCAUAUUCACCAGAGAACACACACAGUAGAGAUGCCCUUUAAGUGCACUGUGUGUGGGAAGGCUUUUACACAGUCAGAAGAUUUACAUAUUCACCAGAGUAAACACACAGGUGAAAGGCCGUUCAAGUGCACUCUGUGUGGGAAUACAUUUACACGGUCAUCACAUCUUAACAGACAUCAGAAAACACACUUCGCUGAAAAGCCCUUCAAGUGCACAGUGUGUGAGAAGUCAUUUUCACGUUCAUCACAUCUUAACAGACAUCAGAAAAUGCACACAGGCGAAAUGCCUUUGACGUGCAAUGUGCCUGGGGAUGCGUUUACAAGGUCAGAAGUCCAAAACAGUCAAGAGAAGACCCACACAGACUGGAAUGGCAAAUCCACAAGUGAGAGUCGAAGUGCUGCAGUGACCCCAUCUCUUAUUAAACAGGAACCAGAACAAUAUCCCCCCUUUGCAAUGUGGCCAGGAGUGAAGGUGGAAUGUGAAGAAGUGAAGGUGAAAUGUGAAGAUGAAGAUUGGAUUCCAGGACCUGACCUCCAGUUUGAUGGCGGCAGCAUGAAGCAUGAGCAGAACACACACUGGUGAGAAGUCAUUUAUACGGUCAGAAUGCCGAAACAGUCAUGGGCAGAUCCACACGAAGGCUAGAGAAAAUCAAAGUGCAGCAAUGAACCAAAGGAACUACAGAAUCAAUCAAAAUGGAACAGAGAGACUCAACAAAGGCCGCUACUAAAAGGCACCAAUGCAGCCAAUGUUCCUACAGUGCAGAUCACAUUAACCACUUGAAGUCUCACCGGAGAACACACACAGGAAAUAACCCCUUCAAGUCCAUGUUGUGUGGGGAAGGCAUUUAAACAGGUAUCACAUCUUAAAAUACACCAGAAAACACACAGGCGAAAAUCCCUUCAAGUGCACCGUGUGUGGAAAAGGCUUUACACAGUCAGGAUCUCUUCAUAUUAAUCAGAGAACACACACGGGCGAAAAGCCAUUCAAGUGUACUGUGUGUGGGGGUGCAUUUGCACGGUUAGCAGUCCGAAACAGGCAUGAUAAGAUCCACGAGGAAAGGAAGGUGAAAGCACCAAGUGAAAGCAAAAAUGCUACAAUGAACCCAUCUCUCAAGCAACAAAAAAAUUAAGAAACUCUCAGCUUUGAAACGUGGCCAGGAUUGAAGGUGGAAUGUGAAGAAGUGAAGGUGAAAUGUGAAGAAGUGAAGGUGAAAUGUGAAGAUAAAGAUUUGGUUUCAGGACCCGACCUCCAGGUAGAUGGAGGCAGCGUGAAGCAGGAGGAUUCAGACUGUGAUGGUGAAAGAUGACCUCCAGGAGUUUGUGGAUGUGUAGAUGGACCUUUUUGGAUAGAGCAGAGGAGGAGGGCCCUGAAUGUUUAAAAUGGAGUCUGGGAAGACCUUUAACCAGGAGCGUGCCACAAUGAAGCUCCAUAGCAUUCAUAUUAAUCACAGGCUUCUCUCACUACAAGAACGCAUGCAGCUGUAGAUAUAAUCAAACCAUCGUUGAACUUUCAGUAAUUACGAUCUUAUUGCAGUGCAGUUGUGAAAUAUUCUUGAUUUUCAAAGUAGUAGCAGUGCCUCUUUACACACUUUUAUUUAACUUGGUGUUGACUUAAAGCUUUUGUGACUGCUUUCAGGAAUUAAUAUUCUUUGGGUCUUACGGUAAAGUCACGUAGAUAGGUUCAAAGAAAAUAAAAAAUAACAAAAAACUACGACGUUUCGAUCGCAACACAAGCGUUUGUCAUCAGGAAGAGGGGGUUAGCUUUUAAAGGUGAAAUGUUUAUAAAGGUUUGAAAUGGAUGUAGCCCAAAUGUCAGCAGCGAAUGUUAAUGUAAGUACUUUGAAGGUACUUUGUAAACCCACUGGCUAUCAACAAAGAUUUGUUCAUGAAGCCAUCCAUAUAUAUAGACACAGACACAAUUUCAAUCGAGAAGAUGGGUAUAAACUGAGCAAUCAGUUAUCAACCAGUUUAAGUCGUAACUAGCUGUGAUGUUCCCAUUCUACCACCUGAUGUUAUUUGUUAUUUUCGGCUCACUGAUUUUACAUUAACAGGUUAAAUUUCUCACCCUAACACAGCCACCUCGCUCCUCGAGCUCGAGGUUUUUGCUUUGCGAUCUGCCAUUAACAUGCUAAUCUCUCACAUUAGCAUAGCCACCUCAGGGCGAUCUUACAUUAUCAUGCUAGUUUUUACUGGGCAAGCCCUAUGAUUGGUGGAAAAACCCACAACUGUCGCGGUCGCUGCCCACCACUUACAUUAACAUUGGCUGCUGACAUUUGGGCUAUGCCCAUUUUAAACCUUUAUAAACAGUUUACCUUUAGAAGCUAACCCCCUCUUCCUAAUUAUUAUUUGCUUUGAACCUAUCUACGUGGCUUUACCGAAAGACCCAAACAAUAUAAAUCUUGAAUUGUCACGCGAGACGAGUCUGUGCAGAAAACUUCAGCUAUCGCCUCUGGGUUCCACUCUGUUUCCAGGCUUUUCUCGUUUAAACCCUUCCCUCCAAUCACUUCAAAGGCUUGCCUCCCAACCAAUAACUUUGGAGGCCUCUUUCCAAUCGGAGACCUUGGCCCACUAUUGAAUAACCGUUAUAUUAUUUCAAGUCUUUGAUGCUUAAUAUUUUCAGAUCUACGAAGCCUAACGAGCUGACGUUUUUUGCACAGACUUGUCUCGUGUGAUAAUUCAAGAUUUCAUUAAAAAAGUCUCGUUCAGGCCUCGUCGAUCCUGUGCCUGUUCGUGAUUUUCACUGAAUUUGUUGCCAUUAAUACUCGUACAUUCUGCCCUAUCAUUUCAAAUCACGAAUGGUCACGCCCAGCUACGAGGGGAAACAUCUUGUCCAAUUAAAGCGGCUGCCGUUGUUGAGGAGCCUCUGUCCAAUGAAAGGCGUGCUUAUAUCACCACUCGGCAUGGCCCCGAAGCAGCAGCUGUGGUUCCCUCUUCUUUUGCGCAAGACUAACAAUUAAAUGAAUACUAUUGCUAUUAUUAAAAUAAUUACAUAGUUAUAAUCGUAAUAAAUAGUAUCGUUUGCUUCGUCAUGGUCCUUCCGAUGCGCGGAGUGCAAAACGCUUAUACUCAAGUUGAGCGAGCAGGUGAGAACCGUGAACAUGAUUUAAAAUUAAAUGCCGCAAUGUUAUCCCUAUUUUGAUUGGCUAAAUGUUAUAAUUAUGAUUGUUGAUAUAAAUGCUUUAAAUUAAAGUGACGAAUCUGUGCACGUUGAAUACGGUGUCGGGAUAUGCACUGUUGUGCAUAUGCGUGCAUUGUUAUAGCAUUGCAGUCUAUAUGUCUUAUCAUCUUUUUUACUUGAUGAUCGCAAAUAGGACAAACGUGUAUCAGGUUCUAAAUGUCAUUUCACUACUUUGCAAUCGGGGUGAUCGUUAUUGUAAUAGCCAUGCUGCGUGCUAUUGACCUUUCAUUACGUAGACUGUUUUUGCCAGUGACGUGCGGUGAGGUCAAUGGCUGGGGAGGCACUGGCGAGUAUCAGACCCUUAAUUUACACAUGAACCCGGUAGAGGUAGCUUAAAUUCACCAUUCAAUUGGCUGAUUGCACAAUGACUAUUGGUUAGGCGACCGUAUCUUUCUCUUUCUUAUAUAUAAAAGUCUCCGCUCGCUCGCGCUUUCGGGGGAUUUGGCUCUCGGACGGUGGCCUUCACGUAUAAAAAAAAUUUCCGGGCGGCACGCUCUAAGCCCCGCGGUGGGAAUAGGCUAUUCCGUUUUUCCAUCCGUAAACUUUAAAGUAGUUUAAUUAACACAUUUGUGCCGUUUCUAUUAUUCAUUAUUUACUUAUUGCACGACAUCGACCGUACCAAGUGACGCCAAUUGCGUGGGGGGAGGGGCGGACCCUACCAAGUGCUGCGCGUUCGCUCCAGCUCACGGGCGACAUUUCAUUU